rnacentral:rRNA from 1 species
UGGCGUAAACAAAGGGAAGCGAAGUGGUGACACGGAGCGAACCCCAAAAAUAACGUCCCAGUUCGGAUUGUAGUCUGCAACCCGACUACAUGAAGCUGGAAUCGCUAGUAAUCGCGGAUCAGAAUGCCGCGGUGAAUACGUUCCCGGGUCUUGUACACACCGCCCGUCACACCAUGGGAGUCAGUAACGCCCGAAGUCAGUGACCUAACCGAGAGGGAGGAGCUGCCGAAGGCGGGACGGAUAACUGGGGUGAAGUCGUAACAAGGUAGC